UCGGCAUGCUGUCAAACUCCGAAUGUGUGUCCGUCGUAGAAGCUGGGCAGUGAGGGCAUCGGGGUAAGCUUGAUGUCCAUAAGGAAAACAAACCAGACCAAAGUUAAGGUCCCUAAGUAACAGCUAAGUGUUAAAGAACAAAUAGUGUUUAACAGCAUAGACAGCUGGAAGGUUGGCUUAGAGGCAGCCAUCCUUUAAAGAGUUCGUAACAGAUCACCAGUCAAGUUCUUGAGCCUAGAAAAUGGACGGGACUAAGUUGUUCACCGAUACUUUGGGCCACCGAAAGGUGAUGCGGUAGAGAGGCGUCGUGCGCGGGUGGAAGUGGGGCCGUGAGGUCCUGUGGACCGCGUUCGAAUGAUAAUCAUGGAAAUAGUAGUAGCGUAGAUGGGUGAGAAUCCCAUCCGCCGGAGGGGCUAGGGUUCCUCGACGAUGUUCAUCAGUCGAGGGUUAGUCGGUCCUAAGGUUCCCCCUAACAGGAGGAAUCGAAAGGGAAGCAGGUUAAAAUUCCUGCACCAAUUCAUAUUUUGUCCAGUUCCUGACACAUCGGGUCUUGUGGAGCACUCCUGUCUGAGUGUUGCCUUAAGCAAUAAAAUUGUGGAGUACCGUAAUGGUGAGAAGCAAACUAAGCUUUUGGGAGGCGAAGUAUUUCGCUUCUGCGUUAGCCUGGUGUCCGUGAAAAGGGAGCUGGAGCCGUAUGAGUUGUCCGUACCGAGAUCUGACACAGGUGCCCCUAGGUGAGUAGCCUAAGGCGUCGCGGCAGAAUCCGGGCGAGGGAAUUCGGCAAAUUAGCCCCGUACCUUUGGUAUAAGGGGUGCCAGCUCUGAAGAGAGCUGGUCGCAGUGACUAGGGAGCUCCGACUGUUUACUAAAAACACAGGUGGCUGCUAGUCCGUAAGGAUGAGUAUAGCCGCUGAAUCCUGCCCAGUGGUGGUAUCUGAAACCCUGUUUCAACCUGACGAAGGACUGCUAAACGGCGGGGGUAACUAUGACCCUCUUAAGGUAGCGUAAUACCUUGUCGCUUAAUUGGCGACUUGCACGAACGGCCUAACGAGAGCUCUACUGUCCCCGCCCGGAGCCCGAUGAAAUUGACUUACUGGCGCACAGUCCAGUACGUCCCAGCCGCAAGCGAAGACCCCGUGGAGCUUUACUGCAACCUGCCGUUGUGGCACGAGUUGUUAUGUGUAGCGUAGACGGGAGACAUUACACAGGUGCGAGCGCUAGCUCGUCGCCGAGUCACCGAUGAAACACCGUCCUUUUCGAUUCGUCCCACUCACCUCUUCGGAGGAACCCCGGUAGGCGGGCAGUUUGGGUGGGGCGCCACUCCCUCGAAAAAAUAACAAGGGAGCCCAAAGGUCAGCUUAGGUAGGUCAGGAAUCUACCGUUAAGUGCAAGGGCAAAAGCUGGCUUGACGUGGUUUGGCAACACAACAAACCACGAUGCGAAAGCAGGGCCUAGCGAACCAACCAGCGCCGUUAGUAGGUGCGGUUGAUAACAGAAAAGUUACCCCGGGGAUAACUGAGUUGUCUGGAGCAAGAGCCCACAUCGACCUCCAGGCUUGCUACUUCGAUGUCGUCUCUUCCUAUCCUGGGUGUGCAGAAGCACCCAAGGGUGGGGUUGUUCGCCCAUUAAAAGGGAUCGUGAGAUGGG
rnacentral:rRNA from 1 species